rnacentral:rRNA from 1 species
AGAGUUUGAUCAUGGCUCAGAACGAACGCUGGCGGCAUGCCUAACACAUGCAAGUCGAACGAAGCCUUCGGGCUUAGUGGCGCACGGGUGCGUAACGCGUGGGAAUCUGCCCUUGGGUUCGGAAUAACAGUUAGAAAUGACUGCUAAUACCGAAUGAUGUCUUCGGACCAAAGAUUUAUCGCCCAAGGAUGAGCCCGCGUCGGAUUAGCUAGUUGGUGGGGUAAAGGCUCACCAAGGCGACGAUCCGUAGCUGGUCUGAGAGGAUGAUCAGCCACACUGGGACUGAGACACGGCCCAGACUCCUACGGGAGGCAGCAGUGGGGAAUAUUGGACAAUGGGCGAAAGCCUGAUCCAGCAAUGCCGCGUGAGUGAUGAAGGCCUUAGGGUUGUAAAGCUCUUUUACCCGGGAUGAUAAUGACAGUACCGGGAGAAUAAGCCCCGGCUAACUCCGUG